AUUUAAAUAGCUUAAUAAAGAGUACAAUAUUGAAGAUAUUGGGGUGAUUGUUUUAAAUCUUUAAAUA
rnacentral:tRNA from 1 species